ensembl:rRNA 5S_rRNA 5S ribosomal RNA
GUCUAAGGCCAUGCAACCCUGAACAAGCCCGAUCCCAUGUAAUCUCGGAAGCUAAGCAGGGUCAGGCCUGGUUAGUACUUGGAUGGGAGACCCCCUAGAAAGACCAGGUGCUGUACGUG